rnacentral:rRNA from 1 species
AUUGAACGCUGGCGGAAUGCUUUACACAUGCAAGUCGAACGGUAGAGGGGGCAACCCCUCGAGAGUGGCGAACGGGUGAGUAAUAUAUCGGAACGUGCCCAGUCGUGGGGGAUAACGUAGCGAAAGUUACGCUAAUACCGCAUACGAUCUAAGGAUGAAAGCGGGGGAUCGCAAGACCUCGCGCGAUUGGAGCGGCCGAUAUCAGAUUAGGUAGUUGGUGGGGUAAAGGCUCACCAAGCCAACGAUCCGUAGCUGGUCUGAGAGGACGGCCAGCCACACUAGAACUGAGACACGGUCCAGACUCCUACGGGAGGCAGCAGUGGGGAAUUUUGGACAAUGGACGCAAGUCUGAUCCAGCCAUUCCGCGUGCAGGAUGAAGGCCCUCGGGUUGUAAACUGCUUUUGUACGGAACGAAAAGGUCUCUCUUAAUACGGGGGACUCAUGACGGUACCGUAAGAAUAAGCACCGGCUAACUACGUGCCAGCCGCCGCGGUAACAC